rnacentral:lncRNA from 1 species
AAGGGAAGCACAGUAUUACAGUACAGAUUCAGUAACUGCUUGGGGGUAUAGCCUCACAAUUACAAGUGCCGAAUUUUUCAUUAGGGAAAAGCAAGUGAAAACCACAAGAUAGUGCUUCAUGUCCAUGAGCAUGGCCAGAAUCAAAACUGCAGACAAUAACAAGUGUUGAUGAGGAUGGGGAGAAAUUGGAACCAUCACACAUUAUUGAUGUGGGUGUAAAAUGUGGAAGCAGUUUGGCCAUCACUCAAAAUCAUAAAUACAGUUAUCAUAAUGACCUAGCAAUUCUACUCCUAGGUAUAUAAUUAAGAGAAAUGAAAACAUAUGUCCAUGCAAAAACUUGUAGUACACAAAUGUUCCUAGCAGCAUUAUUCAUAAUGCUUAAUAAAGCAGAAACAACUUGGAGUUCCUGCUGUGGCACAGUGGGUUAAGAAAAUGACUGCAGCAGCAUGGGUCACUACAGAGGUGAUGCAGGUUUGACCCCCCGGCCCAGCACAGUGGGUAAAGGAUCUGGUGUUGUUGCAGCUGCUGUGGAGGUCGCAGCUGCACUCAAAUUCGAUUCCUAGCCUGGGAACUUCUAUAUGCCGUGGGUUCAGCAGAAAGAAAAAGAAAGUAGAAACAACUUAAAUGUCCAUCAACUAAUGAACAGUUAAGAAAAAUAUGGAAUAUACUCACAGUGGAAUCUUAAUUGGCGAUAUAAAGGAAUGAAGGUCCAAUACAUGGUAUGACAUGGAUAAAGUUUAAAAGCAUUAUGUUAAAUGAACGAAGCCAGCCACAAAACCCCCACAAUAUUGCAUGAUUCCAUUCAUAUGAAACGUCCAAAAUAGACAAGUCCUUAAAAACAGAAAGUAGAUUAGUGGUUGCCAGGGACUGAGGAGGGGUGGGGGUGGGAAUGAGGAGUGACCGCUCAUGGGGCAAGGUUUUUAUGGAGAGAUAAAAAUGUCCUGCAAUUAGACAGCAAUGAUGGUUACACAACUCUAUAAAGGUACUAAAAUCCACCAGACUGUACAUUUUAAAACGAUGAAUUUCAUGGUAUGUGAAUCUUAUCUCCGAAAAGCUGCUAUUUUAAAAAGAAACAAACACUUUCUGGGUUAAUAAGAAAGAGCCAACUCUUUUCAGACUGUAAGGAUGAUGAUAAAGCCCAGAACACAGAUAGCAGGUUCAAAACAGGGUUCUAGUGAUGUCAAGAUGUGAGUCAAGUGGUGACUGCUUCGUAAACGGGGAGAGUAGGGGAAAUGCUGUAUUUUAAAUGUAUUAGUAUACAUGGUAUGGGAUUUUAAAUGUGCAUCGCUAAAAUCAUAUAUUAAAUAUUUGGAAAUGUGUAUACAUUGACAUCAGCUGUUUUUUAUACAACCACCCUUGUCGGAAGGCCCAAGGGUCUGUAUUAGAUGCCAACAGUGUGUGAGGCACUAUCUGUCCAUCUGACUCAACCACAGACAUGGUUCUGACCUCAACAGAGCUUUCAGCCUCGUUCGAUUGAAUUAAAAUGGAGCUUAAGUUUAAGGUCAUUUCUAUGAAAGUUUGUAAAAUUGAUUAUAACACCUUGUGGGUCGUUCUUAAUAACUGGUGGGAACCCUAGGUUGCUUGGAGCUCAGAUGAAAGCUUUGGAUGUUUUUCCCAUAAACAUACAGAAAAUUAUGCAUCUUCUCCCAGGGCGUUCACAUAUGCAAUACCCCCUGCCGCCCCACCUACACACACCAUGCCCCUGGUUGGCUUCCUUGCUUUGAGAUUGUUCUUUACCGAAUUCACUUGCAUCUAGACCCAUUCUCCAGUGUAUGUGUUUACACACACAAACAAUGAGGACAAGAGCUGGAGGCCUGAGAGGGUGCCCCAUGACCUGAUCCCUGGUGAUGCAGGGAUCACUGUGGAAAGAGCAGAGGGCCUGGCGAACCUGCCCUCCCCCUUCCACCCUGGGCAGCCCUGGCUUCCACCUAAGAUCGAUGCCAAAGAAAGCCCUCUAUUAGUUAAGAAGUCCCAACCCCCUUAUUGUAAGUACAAAUGAAAGCCACCCAGGUGACUCACCCGAGGUCAUGUGGCAAGGCAGUGACAAGGCUCCCUAGACAGUGUUCUCUCUGUCCCCACACCUCUCCCUGGGAGUGAACACAGGUUGGCAGCUAAGCGUUUAGCAAACUGGUAAAGAAAGGGUUUUUCUAGACAGAGAGUCGGGUAAAGAAAGAGGGAGAAGGUGCAGAGGCCACAAUGGGGACAGUGUGAGCCUUUGGAUGGCUUAGCAUGCAGCCACCAUGGCGAGCCUUAGGCCUGCGCAUGGGUGGGUGGAAGUCUAGGUUGCUAAAAAUUGCCAACCUCUGCCUUGUAAAUCUCUCCCCUGUAUCCCCAAAGUGACAUCACCUUCUGCCAAGACUCCCUGCUUUUUUUCCUACUCCCUGCUUUUUUUCCUACUCCCUGUCUUUCUCCUGUCAUUCGGCUUGGCCGGGAUAAGAUCCAUAAGCGGGAGGAUGAGGGUGGAAAGGCAAGGAUCCAGUGGAUUAGAGACACAGGAGUGGCUCAGCAAAGGAAUUGUCAAGCUCCUGCUCUAAAUUGCUGGCCCCCUCUCUCUGGGCUCUAGGAAACCUCCCCCAGAGGCAAGGAGGAGCAUCUUAACCCCAAGGCAGAACUCGGUCCUUGCUCUGUCGCAACUGGUUUUGGUAAAGCCCAGCACAGGGAACUGGGAAGAUCACAUCUGGCCCCAGGGAACCAGGCAUGAGUGUGCAAAAAAGGAGGGAGAUGGAACCCCCAAACCUGGGAAUCUGAGGGAGUCUAGAAGAAUGAAAGAGUGGGUGGGGUGAGAUCUGAGCCUGGGGGAGGAGUCUGAUUGAAGUCAGUGGAAGGGGCUGUUGGUUCAGGCAGAAUGGAGGAUGUGGUGAGAGGUUUGAUGGAAACCAGUGAGCAGACCAGGCUAGCUAGGGUGAAGGACUUAGUCUGGAAAGUAUGGGGAAGUUAGGAUAGGAGGUGAGUGAAGGUCAGAUUGCAGAGAGCCUGGAAUAGGAAAUGAAAGGUAAGGGAUCUGGAUCUGCCUAGAGGCACAGGAGCUUCGAAGGGAAUGAGAGAUAAGGAGAGGCUCUUAGGCAACAUCAGGUGAUAUUAGGGAGUGUGGCUCAGACUUGAGCAGGGACAUGGAAAAGGGAAGGAAGGAAUGAGAGGCAUGAAGAAAAAAUCUGUGGGAUUCGAGAUGGGUAAGAUAUGAACAGAGGGGAAAGGGAAGAUAACUCCAAGGUUUUUGAGUGGACUGUCUAGGAUAACUGCAAUUGCAUGAGCAGGAAGGACGCCAGAGGAGAUGGCCUGGUUAAGAAAAUGAUGAGUUUAGUUUUCAACAUGUAGCACCGAAGAUGACUUACUCAAGUGGAAACUGUUUUAGAGAUUCUUGGAGGUGCAGAGCUGAAGCAAGGGAGAGGGCUCAGGCAGGAGGCGGAGCCCAGGAUUUGUCUGAACUGCUGUGGGUGGAUAAAGAGAUGGCAGAUUUAAGUGCCUGUUCCUCCUGAACUCUCUAGGAGGCUGAGGUACAGAGACUGCCAUUACACCUCUAGACAGGCUGGCACUUGGUGCACAGCUGCCGCAGAUGAGGUCCAUGGAAAGGGCUUAUGUAUGAACCAAGAACGCAGAGGAAGGAGGAGCUUAAGGGGAAUGACAAAUUACUUAUAUAACCUAAACAAUUUGAUGUUCCCAUAAACCCUACAUCUUUUAGAUCCCUUUAAGGACUAUUUCAACUCAGAGAACGUAGGAAACUCCAGAUGACCAGAAGAUAGGCUCCAGGACCCCCCAAAUCAUCCCAAAUUACAUACUUUAUCCUGACUGUUGAGACAAGAACUGUUAUAAGAGUCUCCCGCAUGCUCCUCCUAAGACCUCAAGCUCGCUUCUCUCUGAUCCGUUUUAUAAGCUGCUGCCCCAAUGUGAUCACAGCCCCUUCACCUGAGUUCAUAUAUCAACAUUUCCCUGCCCUCCAAAUAAAGUCCAAUGGCUCCUGAGAGCCUUGAGAAUAAGGUCCAAACCCCUCAGCCACCAUGUUUGAGUCUUAUCUUACUUUUCACCCUUAUCUUUAUUGUCCUUUGAUACUCUUCACUCCAGCCAAAAUGAGUCAUUCAAAGGGUGCCUUCCUGCCUCCCUUUUAUUUACAUUCUUUGACCACAGCCAGCAUCCCAAGUUUCCAUGGCCAUACCCCAAUCAUCCUUUGAGAUCUUUUCCAAAUGCCACUUCCUCCAGGAAGCACUCCCAGAUUCUCCAGACAGAAGAAUUCUCUCCAUUCUCUGACCUCAUGACACUUUAUUGGUGCCUCUUUUGUGGCACCAAAGUCCACAUCUCAUCUGACAGUUAUUUACCUUUAUGUAUUAUGUCCUCUACCAGACUGUAAACCUACUGAGAACAGAUAUGUCCCCUCCAUGGUGGGGAAAGACUGCGUUCUGUGAGUAACGAAGGGGCUGAAGAAGGGGAGAAAUAUUAAACAAAUGCUGAAAAUGAGUCACAAAUGAGAAACCUCAGGCUCUAGGGGGUUACAUAACUAGGCAAGGUCACCCAGGAAGAAAGUAACAGACCAAGACUCAACCCACGUCUUUCUGACCUGAAAGUCUUCAUUUUCCUAGGGAUCGUGCCUGGCGGUGUUUUAUGGGGCAUUUUCCCACAAGUUAAGUGUUUCUCUCAAUGACCCUGUCAGAGAUGUGGUACUGUUAUCUUCAUUUUCAAAUGAAAACAGGGAAGCGACUUUCCCAAAGUCACACAGCUAGCAACUGGAAGAAUCUAAACCCAGAACUGUGUCUCCUGACCUCUGAUCUUCUUUCCACUCACCCAGGCUGCCAGGCUGCCAGUGAUGAGCUGGGGGUUGGGAACUUUAGCUUGGGACAUCCACUCACAACCGCCUAAAUGGACAUGGCCAUGGUUCGGCGCCCAGCAUCUGCGUACAGAGCAGACCAAAGGUAAACAAAUGCCUGUAAGAGCAUCUUCGAAGGUGCUGGAGUAUCAGAUCUCUGGUAACCUGCCUGCAGCAGGAACUGGGGGUGGGGCAGAGCGUACACCUAAACCUAAGGGAGAGGAGAGCUGGUUUCUCAUUGCAAAGGCUCCUGGAGAACACAGAGACUUCUUGAGGCCAGGGAGAAAGUGUGUGUGUGGGGGGGGAAUCAACAUUAAUUUAGGAACCAGAGAAAGAUGUGAUGCUCUGAGUGGCCCCAACCAGAGGCGGGACCAGUCUCUCACAGGCAGGUAAUGGUACCCCUUCCCCCAGAAGAACUAAACCAGAACUCGGGGAAGAAUCUCCAAUGGGCCCAUGUGUGUCCCACUGGGAUUUCAGCAGCUGGGGAGUCCAAGAGAACCAACUGGAAGACCCUCAGAGGAGGAAGGUGCACGAAGCAGGGGGACUGUGGUCCUGGUGCCUGCAAAGUUGUUGGGAGAACUGCCCUGUUGAAAGGGAGAUGAGUCCACGAGAUAAAAACUACGCCCAACAGCGAGCUCUAAACACUGAACGAGUGCACUCCUUCGAGCCCCUGCCUAGUGAGUGAUGGUGCCAGGUUCUGCGUGGGUGGAUUUUAGGCCACAAUAGGGAAGAAGGCAAUGGGAGAGGAGGAAAAUGUUAGUGAACUGUCACCAGGAGAGAAAAGGGGAAGGCUCCCCUUGCCCAGCACCAGCGUUGGUUAUCUUAGUUCUAAUCCCGUCGACCGGCUGCCUUGAGUGCUGGGCAAGGUAAGAGCUGGGGUCUGCAGCCCACCCACCGCCGACCUGGAGCGUUGCUUGGAAACAACAUCCGGCGCCCCUAUCAACCCGCCCACCGUGUCUAGGUAAAAAGUGCAUUGGAAUACGCAGUCUCCAGCCUGCUCUCUUAAUCAAACCGUCAUCGUGAGUAAUAAUUAUACCUUGGGAAACAGCAGAGUGACUCAAAAAGCUGCCCCCUCUCCCUCCGCCACCCCCUCGCACAGCUCAGAGCUUUGUGCUGGGUAUGGAGAACCCUGGAGAGUGAAGCCACCAUUUUCUCCUGCCUGUCGGUCCUCUGAGCCCCUUAAAUGACCAUGUGGACUCCAGGGUCUGAGGGGCAGGAAUAGAAAGUCUCUUUGCUGGUCAAAGAGCUAAUGAGGCUUGGCUGUUCACAGACACAGUAGGGUGGGGGUGGGGACAAGAAGCAAAUUCUGUCUUAUCCAUGAAGCACGUCCCUGAGACAGCCUACAUAUGCCCACUUCUGCCCUUUAGAAGAUGACCUUUUUCCCCAGCAAAAAAAAAGAUGUCCUUUCCCCGCCAGCUCAGAUGAACUCUAAGUAAAUCAAUAUAAUGAUAAGGAGAGCUAACAUUUAUUGGAUGCCUACUGUGUGCCUGAGGAAGGACUGAAUGUUUUAUGUACAGUCGAGGCUAUUAAGCUGGUGCAUAAGGCUAUCUGGGACAUUAUAAUACUGGGUUUUUUUUUUUUUUUUUUGGCUGCGCCUGAGGCAUGCAGAAGUUCCCAGGCCAGGGAUUGAACCCGCACCACAGCAGUGACAACACCAGAUCCUUCAGUGCUAGGCCACCAGGGAA